AUUGAACGCUGGCGGCAGGCCUAACACAUGCAAGUCGAACGAGUGGCGGACGGGUGAGUAAUGUCUGGGAAUCUGCCCGAUGGAGGGGGAUAACUACUGGAAACAGUAGCUAAUACCGCAUACCAUCGGAUGUGCCCAGAUGGGAUUAGCUAGUAGGUGGGGUAACGGCUCACCUAGGCGACGAUCCCUAGCUGGUCUGAGCGGAUGACGAGAAAAGCUGGAACUGAGACACGGUACAGACUCGUAAGGGAGGCAGCAGUGGGGAAUAUGGGACAAUGGGGGAAAGCCGGAUGGAGCCAUGCCGCGUGUAUGAAGAAGGCCUUCGGGUUGUAAAGUACUUUCAGCGAGGAGGCGUUACUCGCAGAAGAAGCACCGGCUAACUCCGUGCCAGCAGACGCGGGAAGAC
rnacentral:rRNA from 1 species